UACAGAGGUCCCGAGCGUUGUUCGGAUUCAUUGGGCGUAAAGGGUGCGUAGGCGGCGGGGCAAGUCUGAUGUGAAAUCCCGGGGCUCAACCCUGGAACUGCAUUGGAUACUGCCUUGCUAGAGUACUGGAGAGGAAACUGGAAUUUACGGUGUAGCAGUGAAAUGCGUAGAGAUCGUAAGGAAGACCAGUGGCGAAGGCGAGUUUCUGGACAGUUACUGACGCUGAGGCACGGAGGCCAGGGGAGCAAACGGG
rnacentral:rRNA from 1 species